rnacentral:rRNA from 1 species
GUACGGGGGGGGCAAGCGUUGUUCGGAAUUACUGGGCGUAAAGGGCUCGUAGGCGGCCAACUAAGUCGGAUGUGAAAUCCCCAGGCUUAACCUGGGAAUUGCAUCCGAUACUGGAUGGCUUGAAUCCGGGAGAGGGAUGCGGAAUUCCAGGUGUAGCGGUGAAAUGCGUAGAUAUCUGGAGGAACACCGGUGGCGAAGGCGGCAUCCUGGACCGACAUUGACGCUGAGGAGCGAAAGCUAGGGGAGCAAACGGG